GACCAGACUCCUACGGGAGGCAGCAGUGGGGAAUAUUGCACAAUGGGGGAAACCCUGAUGCAGCGACGUCGCGUGAGUGAUGAAGUAUUUCGGUAUGUAAAGCUCUAUCAGCAGGGAAGAAAAUGACGGUACCUGACUAAGAAGCCCCGGCUAACUACGUGCCAGCAGCCGCGGUAAUACGUAGGGGGCAAGCGUUAUCCGGAUUUACUGGGUGUAAAGGGAGCGUAGACGGCGGUGCAAGCCAGAUGUGAAAGCCCGGGGCUCAACCCCGGGACUGCAUUUGGAACUGUGCUGCUAGAGUGUCGGAGAGGCAGGCGGAAUUCCUAGUGUAGCGGUGAAAUGCGUAGAUAUUAGGAGGAACACCAGUGGCGAAGGCGGCCUGCUGGACGAUGACUGACGUUGAGGCUCGAAAGCGUGGGGAGCAAACAGGAUUAGAUACCCUCGUAGCU
rnacentral:rRNA from 1 species